rnacentral:lncRNA from 1 species
GCUUAAGCUGUGAUCUCUUUUUUUAGACAUAGUUUAAAUGUCAUUCACCUGGCUGGGAGAAUGAAUUCCAUGGCAACUAGAACCUCAGUAGCACCAUGAAAAAUCUGGCCUUCUUGAUGUGGAAAGGGCAGGUCCAAAAGUCCUUUCAAAUUACUACUCUAAUUUCAAGCUAGAGAGUUUUUAUUGUGUUGCUUUUUUUUCUCUACCUAUUGACAUAAUCUAUCAAAAAAAAAAAAAAAAAAACUCUCAGUGCUGUGCCUGAAAGCAAAGUUCAAACAUCACUGACAUGGUUGCCACUAUACAGACAGCAGUGUUCCUUAAAUAGAGACCGACAGAAGGAGCUGUCCCCAAAGUGGAAUUGCAACACUGAUUGGUGUCAGGCUCUGUCUAAGAUGAAGACAUCAUAGUAAUAUGCCCCGGCAUUCCUGGAACCCAGAAACAUAAGAACCAUAGAGCAGAGCAACUUACUCACAAUCACUACACAUAACUCCAUUAUAAAGUUUUAAGAAUAAAACUACAUUGAGUUUCACACAUUCUUGUAAGAAUUCAGAAUUACAACUUCAUUUGUUUUCCUUUUCCUUUUCCUUUUUCUUUUUCUUUUCCUUUUCCUUUUCCUUUUCCUUUUCCUUUUCCUUUUCCUUUUCCUUUCCUUUUCCUUUUUCGGUUUGGUUUGGUUUGGUUUUUUGAGACAGAGUUUCUCUGUAGCCCUAGCUGUCCUGGAACUCACUCUGUAGACCAGGUUGGCCUCAAACUUAGAAAUCUGCCUGCCUCUGCCUCCCAACUGCUGGGAUUAAAGGCAUGCACCAAACUACCUGGUCAUUUGUUUUUUUGUUUUGUUUUGUUUUGUUUUACAAGCUAUAUGUCGUAGUAAUUAACAGGGAGAGAAAAGAAAAUAGAACUUAUUUACUUUUAUAAUUGAAGUUUCAGUAUUCUGACUGUCUGUUUAUCUAUCUAUCUAUCUAUCUAUCUAUCUAUCUAUCUAUCUAUCUAUCAUCUAUCUAUCUUAUAACUGAAUGUUAUGUUUAAAAUAUUCUCUGUUUAAAGACAGACUGGAAGUAUUGAUCUUGAUUCCUCUUAAUUUCUUUGAUUAAAAAAAAAAGAAAAAAAAAGAAAAACUUUUCAAAAAAGGAGAAUAAGACCUUUAUACAGUUUUUUUUUCCUAGUGUGUGUACCCGGGUGUCUAAAUUCAUGAAAUCCUUUUGUUGAAUGUUUCUG